UGGCCCAGUGGCUCAGUUGGUUAGAGCGCCGCCCUGUCACGGCGGAGGUCGAGAGUUCGAGUCUCUUCUGGGUCGUC
rnacentral:tRNA from 2 species